GCAAUGGGCGAAAGCCUGACGGAGCAACGCCGCGUGAGGGAUGAAGGCCUCUGGGCUGUAAACCUCUUUUAUCAAGGAAGAAGAUCUGACGGUACUUGAUGAAUAAGCCACGGCUAAUUCCGUGCCAGCAGCCGCGGAUAAUACAA
rnacentral:rRNA from 1 species